rnacentral:rRNA from 1 species
GUACACUCCUACGGGAGGCAGCAGUGGGGAAUAUUGGACAAUGGGCGCAAGCCUGAUCCAGCCAUGCCGCGUGAGUGAUGAAGGCCCUAGGGUUGUAAAGCUCUUUCACCGGUGAAGAUAAUGACGGUAACCGGAGAAGAAGCCCCGGCUAACUUCGUGCCAGCAGCCGCGGUAAUACGAAGGGGGCUAGCGUUGUUCGGAUUUACUGGGCGUAAAGCGCACGUAGGCGGACUAUCAAGUCAGGGGUGAAAUCCCGGGGCUCAACCCCGGAACUGCCUUUGAUACUGGUAGUCUUGAGUUCGAGAGAGGUGAGUGGAAUUCCGAGUGUAGAGGUGAAAUUCGUAGAUAUUCGGAGGAACACCAGUGGCGAAGGCGGCUCACUGGCUCGAUACUGACGCUGAGGUGCGAAAGCGUGGGGAGCAAACAGGAUUAGAAACCCCGGUAGUCC